GCGUCCUUGGCUUAGUGGUAAAGGUAUCCAUUCUCCACUUCAGCCGCCUUCAUGUGGUUUGAAUCCACUAACAACGGGACAGCGCAUCACUAGUAAUGAUGAGAUGUGUGUAUUCAUUCUAAACUCACUUCCUUCAUCAUAUCUUGCUAAUUCCCUACAGCAUCGGUUCGAUUCCGAUAGGACGCA
rnacentral:tRNA from 1 species